ACUCCUACGGGAGGCAGCAGUGGGGAAUAUUGCACAAUGGGCGCAAGCCUGAUGCAGCCAUGCCGCGUGUAUGAAGAAGGCCUUCGGGUUGUAAAGUACUUUCAGCGGAGAGGAAGGUGUUGUGGUUAAUAACCGCAGCAAUUGACGUUACCCGCAGAAGAAGCACCGGCUAACUCCGUGCCAGCAGCCGCGGUAAU
rnacentral:rRNA from 1 species